rnacentral:rRNA from 1 species
AUACGCACAACAAAUACACUUGUCCAAUUCUCUUUUAAGCUGGAGAUAGUACUCUUUAGAUCAGCCUCUGUAGCUGAAGGAUGGAUCUUGCAUCUGUAUGAAACAUGAGUGUCGACUUGUCUGAGGGCGCCAACAAGAUCAGGAAUGAACCUGGUAUUAGAAUCGUCAUCCUCAAAGACAGGGAUGACUUCCCUCCAACUGUGUUUCUGA